GCAAACUUGGUCAUUUAGAGGAAGUAAAAGUCGUAACAAGGUUUCCGUAGGUGAACCUGCGGAAGGAUCAUUAUCAACACAAUAAAAUCCAAUUAUUUGGGUUUUAUCCACCCGACUCUGUGUUAACAUUGAUAUUGAUUUUAAAAGUCAAAAUUUAUUUUUUGGCUUUUAAAUGAAUUUAGUAUGGGUUUAAAAAUGACUAGACGGAUGGCCUCUUUUAGGGGUAUCGACUAGCCGACCCUACUAAAUAAUCUAAAAAACCUCUUUAUACAUAAACUGAUAAACAUAAAAAUUAAGCCUUUUGGUUUAAUAAAAUGAUAAAAUAACUUUCAACAACGGAUCUCUUGGUUCUCGCAUCGAUGAAGAACGCAGC
rnacentral:misc_RNA from 1 species